UCUGCCUGCACCCAUGUGAUUAAAAAGCUUUAUUGCUCACACAAAGCCUGUUUGGUUAUCUCUUCACACAGACAUGCGUGACAUUUGGUGCUGAAGACCCGGGAUGGGGGACUCCUUCGGGAGACUGGUCCCCUGUCCUCACCCUCACUCCAUGAGGAGAUCCACCUACAACCUCGGGUCCUCAGUCCAACCAGCCUAAGGAACAUCUCACCAAUUUCAAAUCAGAUCUUGGCUUAGUGGCUGAAGACUGAUGCUGCCCAAUUACCUCGGAAGCCUCCUGGACCAUCACAGAUACUUUGAGUAAUCUCUUAUAGUGGAAGCACGAUGCAUCAAACCAUACCAUGGCAUGCCUAGGACCCAACCCCAUAUCAGAAAUGAAGAAACUGACCUUACAGUACCCGCAGCCCUGAACAAAGCAGCUUCCACAGAUGACACAAGCCCCGGACCUGGGGGAUGCUGAAGAGGACAACUCAGGAGGCUGAACGAAUCCUGCUCUGGACACUGACACCAAUUACUCCAGGAAAUUUUUUCCUUGCUAUGCUUUCUGUGUAUAUUGCAACUCACAUAGGGUAUUGAUCCUUUUUGUACUCUUGCUUUGCUGGCCACCUGUACCUGCUACACUCUAUUAGGCUCAUACUUGAACCCACCUUUCUUUUGCCCUGUCACCUGGGGAGACAUCCCCUUCCCAGCCUUUAAUAAUGUAACUGCUGGCCGGGCGCGGUGGCUCACGCCUGUAAUCCCAGCACUUUGGGAGGCCGA
rnacentral:lncRNA from 1 species